GUCUUAGUGAGUGAGUUGCUGCUUUACCCUCCUGCCAUUUAUUCUGCAACACUCUCCUACUGUCACUGAAUGCAGGCCACAGGCCACAGGACAUUAAGCCAAGUAACUCUGUUUUAAGAGUGCUCUAUCUACUCUGAGGGCCGACGUGAUGGCUGACGCAAAUGAAGCUGGAGGAGGCCAUGAAGUGGAGGCUCCAGAGUCCGAAAUAGACGAAGAAGAAGCAGCCUUGUUGCAUUUCAGUAAAUACAAUGAAGCCCGCCGUGCCCGCCCAUGGGAACAGUGGAGCUCCAGAGAGAAGGCGAACUACUACAUUGACCGCUUUUUCUUUGGCUUCCUGAUUGUUUUUGUCUUUGUGCUGCUGGGCGAGUGUGCAUAUAAAAUGUGGUACGUGACCAACGUGAGGAAGUUUGCGGCGUUUGUGUCCGACCUCGUUGUCUUUCUGUUUGACUCGCUCCUUGCUCAGGAGAGACAAGAGGGGCUGGCUGAACUCUAGUUGUACAAUACAAGCAAAGUGAAUCCAAUGGUUUUCUCCCAUGUUUAAGGCAUAGUAAAGAAGUUUAAUAACUUAACAAUAAAGACAAUGUAAAUAUGA